rnacentral:rRNA from 1 species
GCACAAGCAGCGGAGCGUGUGGUUUAAUCGAUGAUACACGAAGAACCUUACCAGGGUUUGACAUGUUGGUGGUAGGGAUCCGAAAGGUGACCGACCUUCGGGGAGCCUUCACAGGUGCUGCAUGGCUGUCGUCAGCUCGUGUCGUGAGAUGUUCGGUUAAGUCCGCUAACGAGCGCAACCCUCGCUGUGUGUUGCAUGUGUCACACGGGACUGCCGGUAACAAGCCGGAGGAAGGUGAGGAUGAUGUCAAGUCAGCAUGGCCUUUAUAUCCUGGGCUACACACGUGUUACAAUGGCCGGUACAGAGGGCAGCUACCUGGAGACAGGAUGCGAAUCUCGAAAGCCGGUCUCAGUUCGGAUCGGAGUCUGCAACUCGACUCCGUGAAGCUGGAUUCGCUAGUAAUCGCGCAUCAGCCAUGGCGCGGUGAAUACGUUCCCGGGCCUU